rnacentral:rRNA from 1 species
AACGCGAAGAACCUUACCUACCCUUGACAUGUACGGAAGUACGAAGAGAUUUGAGUGUGCUCGAAAGAGAGCCGUAACACAGGUGCUGCAUGGGUGUCGACAGCUCGUGUCGUGAGAUGUUGGGUUAGGUCCCGCAACGAGCGCAACCCUUGUCAUUAGUUGCUACGAAAGGGCACUCUAAUGAGACUGCCGGUGACAAACCAGAGGAAGGUGGGGAUGACGUCAAGUCCUCAUGGCCCUUAUGGGUAGGGCUUCACACGUCAUACAAUGGUACAUACAGAGGGCCGCCAACCCGCGAGGGGGAGCUAAUCCCAUAAAGUGUAUCGUAGUCCGGAUUGUAGUCUGCAACUCGACUGCAUGAAGUUGGAAUCGCUAGUAAUCGCGGAUCAGCAUGUCGCGGUGAAUACGUUCCCGGGUCUUGUACACAC